ACAACGGCUCUUUUAAGAGCCACCUACUUAAUCCAUGAGAGUUCU
rfam:Chelonia mydas contig258333, whole genome shotgun sequence.